rnacentral:rRNA from 1 species
GCUUGUCUCAAAGAUUAAGCCAUGCAUGUCUAAGUAUAAGCAAACUUGUACUGUGAAACUGCGAAUGGCUCAUUAUAUCAGUUAUAGUCUACUCGAUAGUACCUUACUACUUGGAUAACCGUAGUAAUUCUAGAGCUAAUACAUGCGCAAAUACCCAACUGCUUGUCGGACGGGUAGCAUUUAUUAGAUUGAAACCAAUGCAGUCUUCGGGCUGGUAUUGUGUUGAGUCAUAAUAACUUCGCAAAUCGCAGUAAUACUGCGAUAAAUCAUUCAAGUUUCUGCCCUAUCAUGCUCUCGAUGGUAGUGUAUUGGACUACCAUGGCUCUCACGGGUAACGGGGAAUUAGGGUUCGAUUCCGGAGAAGGAGCCUGAGAAACGGCUACUACAUCUAAGGAAGGCAGCAGG